GGUGGUGGCCCAGUGGGUAGAGCACCUGCUUUGCAUGCAUGAGGUCUGUGGUUCAGUUUCCAGCACCACUG
rnacentral:tRNA from 1 species